AGAGUUUGAUCAUGGCUCAGAUUGAACGCUGGCGGCAGGCCUAACACAUGCAAGUCGAGCGGAUGAGAAGAGCUUGCUCUUCGAUUCAGCGGCGGACGGGUGAGUAAUGCCUAGGAAUCUGCCUGGUAGUGGGGGACAACGUUUCGAAAGGAACGCUAAUACCGCAUACGUCCUAAGGGAGAAAGCAGGGGACCUUCGGGCCUUGCGCUAUCAGAUGAGCCUAGGUCGGAUUAGCUAGUUGGUGGGGUAAUGGCUCACCAAGGCGACGAUCCGUAACUGGUCUGAGAGGAUGAUCAGUCACACUGGAACUGAGACACGGUCCAGACUCCUACGGGAGGCAGCAGUGGGGAAUAUUGGACAAUGGGCGAAAGCCUGAUCCAGCCAUGCCGCGUGUGUGAAGAAGGUCUUCGGAUUGUAAAGCACUUUAAGUUGGGAGGAAGGGCAGUAAGCGAAUACCUUGCUGUUUUGACGUUACCGACAGAAUAAGCACCGGCUAACUCUGUGCCAGCAGCCGCGGUAAUACAGAGGGUGCAAGCGUUAAUCGGAAUUACUGGGCGUAAAGCGCGCGUAGGUGGUUUGGUAAGUUGAAUGUGAAAGCCCCGGGCUCAACCUGGGAACUGCCUCCAAAACUGGCAAGCUAGAGUACGGUAGAGG
rnacentral:rRNA from 1 species